CCUCCUCUUUGCAUAGCAAGCACUUUACCCAGGGGAGCCAUUGCUCCAGCCACGCCCCACCCCCCACCCCCAGCUAUGUAUUUUCAAGAGCUGCGUGUAGGUCGGGUAGGUGAGACGCCUGUGAGUCAGGACAGCAAGGCCUGUGCUACAGCCCACCUCUACGUAGAGCGGGCUCCCGUACCAGCCCAGGCCUUAACCGCCGUGGCCUCCCCCUCCCCCAGGCCCUUUGUUCUUCGCUACAGCUGCUCAGCAAAUUCCUUGAUUUUAAAUUAUGAUCACAGGUUGGAGAGCUACUUAAAAUAAUCUUGCCAAAUGUUCCAUCUCUGCGCUGAUGAAUACAGUGGAGGAGAAAUUUCAAGAGGGGGAGAGGAAAAAAAAAAACAUUAAGAAUUCACUUUGUUCAGGGGGAAAGGAAAAAAAAAAAAAAACAGUCACAGCUUUGGUUUACAUCUAAGGAUUCUCGCGCGCGCCCCCGCCCCGCCCCGGAAGUUGAUUGUGUGCUGACCUUCAGUGAGCCAGUGAGCCCUGUGCCAGCAAAGAAAGGAUCCCUGGCCCUUGUUGGAGCCUCAGUUUUUUUCACCUGCUGAAUGGACACAGAUCUGUCCAACUCACUAGUUGAUUUCAAGGAUGAGACGAACCUGUCCCAUAGUCCUUGAAAGGAGUCUCUGGAGAAAUUUCUGGAAGGAGAAGACAGAAGCUACAUUUCAGCCACAUAAAUGACACGUGAUGCUGAUGUUGACGAAUGCUGCCCCACUGUUUAUUGAACACCACCAGCCCCUCUCAUCUGCUCCCUUAUUGGGUCCCAGAGCAACCUAGGAGGUUUGGAAUCCCCUAGGAGACACUCUCCUUCCUGUAUCCGAGGGAUGUUUCCAAAGAUGUCCAAUGAAAAGGGAACCCACCCUGAAUGCGGCCAUGUGGCACCACCCCAUGGUAGGAGUCCUCGGAAUAAAUAAGAAAAAUAAAGUCAAGCCCAGUCCAUCGUUCAUCUCCAGACGCCUCCCGGCUGCAGACUCGGUGCCAGCGUCUGCCUCCUGCUUCUGGUGAGGAAGCUGUAGCCACGCCCAGCCCCUCCUCGCCCACCUUGAUGGUCUGUGCCCCUCACACCAUGAACCAAAACAAAUCCUACCCUCUUUAAGUUUCAUUUACCAGAAGCUGCUUCUGCAGCAACAAGAAGGCUAACACACCAAGCCCCAUGCCAUUUUAAUCCCUUGCAAGCGCGCGUCCCCUUUAACUUUAACACUCGUGAGCAUCUCCUGGUGCAGCCACACCCCACAAAGGUCCCUUUCAAAAAGCAAAAGCAAGAAGACACCCACUGUGGAAAUCCCAAAUACAGCAUGGCCGGCGGGGCCCAAGACAGCCUUUUCAGAGGCCACGGUGCUCAGACUCAAAAAGUCCUAGAUCUCAAAGACACUGGGCAGAAGUAAGAAGAUGUGGUAAGGAAGUCUGUUCAGUCAUUUAAAAAGAAGCUGGAAAGGGUGUACUGGCUGGUUUUGUGUUUCAACCUGACGCAAGCUAGAGUCAUCAGAGCAAGGAGCCUCCGUUGAGGAAAUGCCUCCAUGUGAUCCAGCUGUAAGGCAUUUUCUCAAUUAGUGAUCGGUGAGGGAGGGCCCAGCCAACUGUGAGUGGCGCUAUGCCUGGACUGGUGGUCCUGGGUUCUAAAAGAAAGCCAUGAGGAGCGAGUCAGUAAGUAGCACCCUCCAUAGCCUCUGCAUCAGCUCUUGACUCCAGGAUCCAGCCCUGCUUGAGUUCCUGUCCUGACUUCCUUCAGUGAUAGACUAUGAUGUGGAAGUGUAAGCUAACUAAACCUUUUCCUCCCCAACUUGCUUUUUUUUUUUUUUUUUUUUUUUGGUCAUGGUGUUUUAUUUGCAGCAAUGGAAAACUUGACUAAGACAGUUGGGGAUUCACUCAGUGACAGAGGAUUUGCCUGGCACAUGGAGACCCUGCAUUUGGUCCCAACACCACACACCCACACCCACACACACACACACACACACACACACACACACAAAACUUUUUAAAGUUUAUAUAUUCAUGCUACCCCAACAAAGGACAGUGCUUUCAUAAUUACUCAUUGGGAAAUGGGACAUUGCCUCAUCCUUGGGGUUUCUUGAAGCACCUUCCACCACUGCCUACUGGGCGCAGCCAGGGCUGCUCUUCCUUCCUACGUAUCGAGAGAGUCCUGUGAGGGUCCACUAGACCUGGGGAGGUCCCCUGAGAGUCAUAGGAAGGACACACCUUUCCCCUAGUGUUUCUGCGGCAACAUCAGUUUCUGUUAUGUGUACUUCGAUUCAUGAUCCCUGAGAGGCUGGGGAGGGGUUUCGUAUCUUCAUGGUUGUACACAGACGUUGUUCCAUUUCAUCUAGCCAAAUGGUGUCCCUGGCUACAAUAGUCCAAUGAUAAAGGGCAGGUGACACUAUGGGUGAGAGCUGUCGUCCUGCCAAGGACAAAGCACUUGAAAGGAAAAUGCAGGCUGAGCUGUGGGACCAGCGAUCGCCCUUGAGCCAACCACACACUGGUGCUGUCCGACAGCGUCCUCCUGGUCAGAAUCCCUAACUGCACCUGACAGCUGUUCUCAGCACCUCCUCUGACAUCAGCCUCCCGUAAAACAAGGUGAAGAAACACAACAGAUCCAUUCCUACCCAGAGAAGGUGGUCCAAUAUGAGCUCAUGCUCACUGGGGGGCUUCUUACAAAAGCAGAAAAAUAAAAUCCUCGCAUGGGUCUCCCGGCUGCCAGGUGACCCCCUAGCAGGCCCUUUGGCUUUACUGCAGCUUCUUUAUCAUUCGGACCUGCCAGUUGGAAGGCCGCAGCAUGAGGAGCCAAAUGGCACUAUGCAAUUAAGUUGGAAAACACUGCAUAAGUGCAACGGAGGCCAGAGCUUUAACAGCCGCAUACGGUUUCGCAAAGCGUACUCCGGAUCAUCAGCCAGCAGUAAAAACACACAGGAGGGAGAUGGCCUGGCUGGAAAUGAACUGCAAAUUGAUAAACAUGUAGUUGCUAAUGCCAUGUUUAUUAUUUUUUUUUCCACUGGGAUAAAAAUUAACUCUUGCGGCCUUGGCCAGCCGGCAGCUUGAACUCUACCAUCUCGGUGAUGGAACCGGCUGUUUCUGGAACUUCAGGUUGCAAGUUACUAUUGCCAGAUCGUAUUGGUGAACAGGAACUGUAUGUCCAGAUAGCAGAACCUCUCAGGGAGAGAGGCUUCAACAAAACACCAUAGAACCUGCCGGGGCAGCAAAGAGGACUUCCAGGAGGGAGCCAUUUUCAGUAUGCUGUUUUAGAUCUGUACAUGUAUGUGUGUGUGUCAGACUGACAUAUGUGUGUCCGGGCCUGGGGAGGUCAAAGGUCAACCCUGGCUAUCAUUCUUCCAGAGCUAUUCAUCCUGGAUUUUGAGACAGGGUCUCUCACUGGCUCUGACUCACCAAUUAAGCCAGGCUGACCAGCCAGCCCAACCCGGAGAGCAGCCUGUUUCUAUUUCCCCAACACUAGGAUUGCAAGUCCCACACACAGUUUUUUAUGUGGGUUCUGGGGUCUUCGUGCUUGUGUGGCCACCGUGUUACCAGCUGAGCCAUCUCACCAGUACUAAUCCCUCAUUUCAAGUGGAGGAGGCUGGCAACCUCCUGGAAAAUCACCUUCCCCUCACAGAAGCCAGCCAGGCUGCAAACUGGGCCUUCUAGAGGCAAAGAAGAGAUCGCAAGGGUGCAGGGAGAUCAUGAGGGCACGGGGUGAGGGUGGGGGGCAAGCCUGAGCAAGCACAGCCAGUCAUGUGACAACCCCAGCAGCUGCCCCAGCUGCAGAGCUGACCUCUCUGUCCCCAGGGGCCCUUUUUCAUCAGCUGGAUCGAUUUACUUUAGCUACAGUGCCCUCACAAGCAGGGACUGAAUUAUGACUCAUGGAAAUCCCCCUCUGUAUCAAGGAAUCAGAGGCACGCUGAAAACAGCUCUGAGUUUUACAACACGGCUUCCAGACUCAGAAGAUUCCCCCACACUGACAACACGGAAGGGCAAAAUGCAGGCUGUAGUGGGAGGCAGACAAAAAAAAAAGCUCAUGUGACUCAAAGCAGGAAGCAGGACACAUUGCUGGGAGGAGGCGUCACCACCACAGGCCGUACAUUCCUGCCCUGCCUGGCCAGCUUUUUUACAGUUGGAUUACAUAUGCAUUAUGUACGUGAAUAUGACGUGACUCUUGGAAGACAGAAUACAUAUAUAAUAUGAAGUGGGUUGGUAUGGGAAAGGAGAACUUAAAGGAGCUGGGGGAGAGAAGUUGGGAAGAGGAGGGAGAAAUGGGGUGGGGAAGGGGAUGUGGGGGAGAGGGGUGGGGGAGGGGAGCGAAGGGAGAAAGAUAAAGUGUCAUGUCUUCUCUCAUAUAUGGAACUAGAUUUAGCUAUAUUCCCAUAUAUAAAUGGCAGGAAAGCAGGAGGCCUUAUUUAGAGGGAGGGAGGGAGAGGGACAAUGACUGAGGGGCAGGGGAAGGACAGGGGAGGGCAAUAGGGAACAAAUAUAAAAUGUAUGUAUGAAAAUGUCACCAUGAAAUCCAUUAUUUUAUAUACUAAAAAAAAAUGCUUCAAUGUUUCUUUUAAAAAUAAGUAGGUUUUAAAGGGACAGGUGUAUGGGAUAAGGCCUUGACCACAAGGGUUUGUCCUAUCAGGCCCAGAUGAGGUUCCAGGUGGGGGCGGGGACAAGCAAAGGACAAACCUGGAUAUCCUGCUGGCCCCUCCAUCCUCUGUUCUGGAGAGCAAGGGUAUCAGGAGGUCUCAGAACAGGGAGCAUUUCGUAAGCCCCAAACAGCAUGAGAUCAUGGGGAAAACACAGACACAGAAAGGAGAGUGGGAAUCUAGUCCAAAAUUAGAGGGAGAAGAUGACAAAAUGUGUGUGCAAACACCCUCGGCCUGGGGAACCAGAGACUGCGAGAAAUUGUCAUGAACAGAUAAAGCCAUUCAGUAAGAGAUCGAUCGGGUCCAACUCACAGUGAAGAUAUAUUUAAUAUGCAGGAUGCGUAGAUGGACGGAUGUGCAACUGAACAAGGAGAAUGGGUUGUUUCAGAAAAAAGAGACAGUAAACAGGACUCUGAGCUUUCUGGAGGGGCUGGGCAAGUCUGGAAGAUAACAGUGUGUGAGUUAACAAUGAAGAACAUUCUAGACCCCCAUACCCAGAGGUGAAUGGGAGUGGGUAUGUCUGACCAAAGACAAAUCUGUGUGCCUUCCAUGGGAACAGUGGGUCCUUAUGUGGUCCUGUGUGCUGGAGUCCCACCUCUGCUGUCAUGACACCCUAUUGGCUACUGUUAAGAGAGGAGGAUUACCCUUCUGCUAGCCUACAAUGCAAAGGCUCCAAGGAGACUGUAGAAGGUGGAGCUCUAACACAGAAAGUUAAAGCCAGCUUCCUCCCUCUUCUCCUCCCUUCCUCAACUGGAAAAAGUGGACACAGAAGGGAGUUAGGAUGGGAAGAAAUGGUGGCCACAUGCUUUGAGGGUCUGUUUUCCCCUGCAUUUAACAUUCCAGUACUGCUUGAGAGCUCUGAGUCCCUGAGGCACACACUAAGGCUUCGACUGACAGUAAGGGAGUAGGUGUCUUUUCUUGGGACAACCUGCUAAAGGCUCUCAUUUCUUCACUGUAUCCUCAUGGGGACUUCUUCCUCACAAGAGACAUACCUAACUGUUUUGGGGCCACUGCAGAGGUGCUUCACACAGUGGGGCCCUUUUUCAUCCUUUCAAAUACAUCUGUUGUGUGGCAAUUUUCUCUACACUAGAUCAUUCUAUCUUAGAAGAGAGUUAAGAUUCAGAAAGUAAAUGAAGCUUUCAAGGAUCCAGAAAGCAACAACAACUCACAAAUCUCAUGAAGCUCCUGAAACUUACAAGAUACACAAAGCUUCUCCCAAAGGCUGUAUGAGAAGAAACACUUACUGGAGAGAAGACUCUCCCACCCACCAAACUGCCUGCAAGUAGUAUGGGAAGCUCCAGAGACAAAGCUUUGGGGAACCAUCGCCCAUACCGGAAUGGGAUUUCCAGUGCUGCAGCUUCCUUUGAGUCAUCCAGGAACCUAGAAGUAAAGCCUCCACCACCCUUGCUCAUUGAUUGCUUCGCCAAGCUGGACUUCAGGGGAAUUGUUACUCUGGUCUGUCACUGGUACCCUACGUAGGGUGAAUUUGUUCCAAUCUCCUCAGGAAAAGUUAGCAUAACAUACUAAUGUCCUGCCCCACAGAUGUGCACUGUGCAGCAUGUUCCUGACAAGGCACAUGCUCCCAACUCAAGUCUCAUAUCAGACAUUUUCCUGAGGACAGUGGUGUUUGGGAUGAGACACAGUAAGAGAUCCAUGCAGAGACCCUGCAUGGACAGCAUUUUCCUCAGAUCACAAGGACAGAAGGAACCUUGAUCCCUCUCACAUCCCAGGCAACUCACCACACUGACUAUGCUGACCUACCCGUCCCAAUAAGAAUGUUGACUCUUAGCAGAGCCACGAAUCCCACCAUGAACUUCACAGGUAUGCCAUUUCCCAAAUAAGGGGAUGGAUACAUAGCUGCCGGCAGGUGUUCAAAUGAGGGCUUCACAAAGCUGUUCGCUAACAGCACUCGGACAAGUCUGUGUAUUUGUGGCAUGAGUAAAGAUAAAAAGCAGAUGUUGUCACAGUCGUCUGAUUCAGCUUGUGGCCAACGUCCACACAUACAGGACCAUGAUUUCCAGUGUCCCUGCAAAGCGGGACCAAUAGCAGCCCACUCAUGCAGAGUAAUGGGGUUGUGAUCCUGAAUGGAUGAAGUUAGGACACUAAGCUUGUUCUCUGUACAGCAAGGGCGAUCCUAGCUCUCUGACAGGCUCACGCAACACAUGAAGAGCUCAUGGCUUGGAGCAGACCCUAAAUAACCGAACUCCAUUUUUACAGCUAACAGCCACUGUGUUCCCUGUGGUUUGGCCCUGAGUAACUAACUAUAUUCACCUGUGGAUCCAGGUGGACCUCCAGCAACCACAGUUGAACUGCAAUAAAAACAGCCUUCUGAUGUGGUGAUCAA